GUAAUAAAAGCACGGGUUCCCAUGUAGUACCUUAUAUAUAUACAGUAAUAAAAGCGCGGGUUCCCAUGUAGUACCUCAUAUAUAUCAAGUAAUAAAAGCGCGGGUUCCCAUGUAGUACUUAUAUAUACCAAGUAAUAAAAUCACGGGUUCCCAUGUAGUACCUAUAUAUACCAAGUAAUAAAAGCACGGAUUCCCAUGUAGUACCUAUAUAUAUCAAGUAAUAAAAUCACGGGUUCCCAUCUAGUACCUAUAUAUACCAAGUAAUAAAAGCACGGGUUCCCAUCUAGUACCUAUAUAUAUCAAGUAAUAAAAGCACGGGUUCCCAUGUAGUACCUAUAUAUACCAAGUAAUAAAAGCACGGGUUCCCAUAUUGUACCUAUAUAUACCAAGUAAUAAAAGCGCGGGUUCCCAUCUAGUACCCUAUAUAUAUCAAGUAAUAAAAGCACGGGUUCCCAUGUAGUACCUAUAUAUACCAAGUAAUAAAAGCACGGGUUCCCAUGUAGUACCUAUAUAUACCAAGUAAUAAAAGCGCGGGUUUCCAUGUAGUACCUAUAUAUACCAAGUAAUAAAAGCGCGGGUAAACGGCGGGAGUAACUAUGACUCUCUUAAGGUAGCCAAAUGCCUCGUCAUCUAAUUAGUGACGCGCAUGAAUGGAUUAACGAGAUUCCCACUGUCCCUAUCUACUAUCUAGCGAAACCACAGCCAAGGGAACGGGCUUGGCACAAUCAGCGGGGAAAGAAGACCCUGUUGAGCUUGACUCUAGUCUGACUCUGUGAAAAGACAUGAGAGGUGUAGAAUAAGUGGGAGUAGCAAUACGUCGGUGAAUACCACUACUCUUAUCGUUUUUUUACUUAUUCGAUGAAGCGGAAGCGAACCGCAAGGUUCACGUUCUGGAUUUAAGGUCUCUCUCUUGCAGACCGAUCCGUGUCGAAGACACUGUCAGGUUGG
rnacentral:ncRNA from 1 species